rnacentral:rRNA from 1 species
AUACGUAUGUCGCAAGCGUUAUCCGGAUUUAUUGGGCGUAAAGCGCGUCUAGGCGGCUUAGUAAGUCUGAUGUGAAAAUGCGGGGCUCAACCCCGUAUUGCGUUGGAAACUGCUAAACUAGAGUACUGGAGAGGUAGGCGGAACUACAAGUGUAGAGGUGAAAUUCGUAGAUAUUUGUAGGAAUGCCGAUGGGGAAGCCAGCCUACUGGACAGAUACUGACGCUAAAGCGCUAAAGCGUGGGUAGCAAACAGGAUUAGAUACCCUGGUAGUCCACGCCGUAAACGAUGAUUACUAGGUGUUGGGGGUCGAACCUCAGCGCCCAAGCUAACGCGAUAAGUAAUCCGCCUGGGGAGUACGUACGCAAGUAUGAAACUCAAAGGAAUUGGCGGGG